rnacentral:rRNA from 1 species
AAUGAACGUUGGCGGCGUGGAUUAGGCAUGCAAGUCGAGCGAGAACCGGUUUCGGCCGGGGACAGCGGCGAACGGCGUAGUAAUGCAUCGGAACGUACCCUCUGGUCGGGGAUAGCUACGGGAAACUGUAGGUAAUACCCGAUGAUCUCUGCGGAGCAAAGGUGAGAUUCCGCCGGAGGAGCGGCUGAUGUGAUAUUGGCUAGUUGGGGGGGUAAUGGCCUACCAAGGCGGUGAUGUCUAGGGGGUGUGAGAGCAUGGCCCCAACGACCGGAACUGAGAUACUGGCCGGACACCUACGGGUGGCUGCAGUCGAGAAUCUUCCGCAAUGGACGAAAGUCUGACGGAGCGACGCCGCGUGCGGGAUGAAGGCCCUUGGGUUGUAAACCGCUGUCAGAGGGGAUGAAAUCUUCGGAGGUACUCCUCCGAAGUUGACAGAGCCUCAAAGGAAGCACGGGCUAACUACGUGCCAGCAGCCGCCGCGGUAA